UGGAUCUUCAAUGAGUCGUGUUCUAUUUUUCACUCGGCAACCCGGCAUAUCUCUGCAGAUUUCACUCGGCCAACUUCGGUUAUUCCUCUACACCAAACCAUGUUUCCAAACAGAGUUAUCUUUCCGUGACCCGCAAAUUAUAUUUUUAACUGGUUUGCUUUUGGCGCAAUAUUCUUAUGUUUAGGCUAACACUGUUUUUAACGGCGUCAGCUUCUUAUAUUUAUUGGGCUACAAACACUAAACAGUUGUCUUUUAUUUUCUGAGGAGAUUUUCUGACCUGGAAGAAAAGUAUAGAAAAUAUUUCCAAUUAUCUAUCUUGAGAUCACAGAGAUUGAAUGCUGCAGGUCUUGUGUUUAGUGUAUAGACUAAUUGGUGGAUGUUAUUAACAUUAACCUUUUAGCAAAGGUUAGCUUU